rnacentral:rRNA from 1 species
AUUGAAUGCUGGCGGCACGCCUAACACAUGCAAGUCGAACGCGAACGCACCUUCGGGUGUUAUUAUAGUGGCGGACGGGUGAGUAACACGUGGGAACAUGCCUUUUAGCUCGGAAUAACGUUUGGAAACGAAUGCUAAUACCGUAUACGCCCUACGGGGGAAAGAUUUAUCGCUAAAAGAUUGGCCCGCGCUAGAUUAGUUAGUUGGUGAGGUAACGGCUCACCAAGGCUACGAUCUAUAUCUGGUUUGAGAGGAUGAUCAGACACACUGGGACUGAGACACGGCCCAG